rnacentral:rRNA from 1 species
AUGCUCAACGGCGAGCUCCAAGGAGGAACGCAGCUACAGACACUUGCCUGCUUUGGCCGCGGCGACCCUGCCGGCCGGCUUGCGCGGCGAGGACACCGACGGCGCCAACCUGCUGCCGCCGCUGCCGCUGCUCUUGGAGGACGGCGACCGUGCCCACGUCUUGGCGCGCGGGCUCGACGUCGGGACCGUCUCGACUACGACGUCCGGCACCGUCGCGCUGCUGUGCACGCCCUCGUCGCCGCACAGCGAGUUGGCCUCGCUGCCGGAGUCGGAGCCCCUGCCGAUGUGCAGGACCGCCGCCUUGCCCCUCUCCCUCUCCAACACCCUGUACGCGUACAUCUCGAACGGCACGUCGGCCACGCGCGGCGCCGCCGCGUCCCCCUGCCGCCGCUGCCACGCCGGGAGCUUCUUCUGCAGCAGCGCCUCGAUGUCCAGGUAGUCCACCGCCGGUGUCGGCGUCGGCGGCGGCGCUGGCGUCGACGUCGACGCGUCCGCCUGGCCGCCGUGCUGCUCCGGGUUCAUGACGAGGAACCGCUUGACGUAGCGGAGGACGCGGCAGAUGGUGCUGAAGGCCGGCCGCUGCGCCGGGUCGCCGUGCCAGCAGCGCCUGGUGAGGCCGGUGAGGUACUUGGGCGCCUGGAACGGGAACAGCGGCCUCUCGCCGGCGCGGAUGUUCUUGCUCAUGUUGUCGCCCUGCAGGUGGUUGUCCUCGAACGGGAUCUUGCCGGUCAGCAGCUCGAAGCUGAUCAUGCCGAAGCUGUACACGUCCGCCUUCUCCGUACGCCUCGCCGCCGCCUGCCCGGGCUCGUCGUUCUCCAGCACCUCCGGCGCGUACCAGAUGCAGGGGUUGACGCUGCCAUUUUGCCCACUGGCAUUGGCGUUUGCGUUUGCGCCGGCGGCGGCGGCGUGCGACGCCUUCCGGCCGGGGCUGACCACGGCGGCUGCGGCGGGGUCGCCGGCGAACCCGGCGACCUUGACGACCAGGUACGCGUCGGGGGCGCCGCCACGCGUCUUGACGAGCACGUUGGACGGGUUGAGCUCGCCGUGGUAGAUCUUCCUGGAGUGGAGGUGCUCCAUGCCGCGCGCGAUCUGCAGCAUGGCGUCCACGACGACGACGAGCGGGAGCUGCGCGCGCGGCCGCUUGGCGCUGCCGCUCGCCUCCUUGAAGAAGCUCCCGAGGUCCUUGCUCAUGAUCUGGUCCAUGACGAGGUACGCCUCCCGCUUCUCCUCGUCGCGGAAGCGGUACCGGCAGUGCGCCACGUUCGGGUGCGCCACCGACGUGAGCAGCGCGGCCUCGGCGCCGACCGCGGCGUCGUCGGCGUCCACCCCGACGUAGUGCUUCACGGCGAAGGCCUCCCCCAUCCACUGCACCUCCUUCAGGCUUCCGCCGAGGCGCCGCCGCAUGUGGAAGUCGCCGAGGAGGAGCGCGGACGCCGGGUGCGGCUCCCCGCGCGGCGCGGCCAGGAGGUCCGCGAUCCGGUGCUCCUGCCGCGACAACGGCCUGGAUCUCAUCUCGUCGAGCAGCUGCGAGAGGAGCCACCUGUCCUCCGCCCACGCCGUGUCCAUCCGGGCGGCGAGCUCCUGCGUGGCCAGGUACGCCCUGCCCACCCUGCUCCGCCGGAACAGCGCCGGAUCGAGGAGGUCCUUGUCGUAGUCCCUGGCGAAGAGCACGCGCCGCCGCGCCAGCUCGUCGGGGUUGAGCGCCGCGGUGGCCUCGGCGACGACCUCGACGGCCUCGAGCACGACGGCAACGCACCAGAGGAGGCCGUGGAGGUGCAGCUCGACGGACUCGACGCCGUGCGUGAGCGCGGCCGCGCGCGCCCACCAGCUCCCGCCGCCGCCUCCCGCGUGCAGGUCCCCGAAGCAGAGGCGGAUGUAGUGCUCGGCGUCGCGGACGGCGCGGCAGAGCUCGCGCAGCGGGGACUCGAGGGGCUUCCACCGGCCGGCGAGGCGGUCGUCGAAUCGGAGGCAGGCGCGCACCUCGGCGGCGACGGCGUCGAAGGCCAGCUCGCAGGCGUCGGCGAGGAGGCGGCACUGGCGCGGGUUGACGCGGAGCUCGUGGUGGAACGCCAUGAGCGCGGCGAUGCCGCCGAGGGCCUCGCCCACCUGCCGGAGCUGCUCCAUCGACGAUCCUUAAUUUGGGGCCUCGCUCGCUCGGCUCGUACGAUCGAGAAGAAAGAUGGGUGUGGCUGGUGGACGGAUACGAAUGCAGCCAUGCAUGCAUGCAUUCGUUUUUUUUCCUUCUCUCCCGCACGGUGGAAAAAAAAAUUGUAUUACACCAGCUUGCUUACUUUUUCUUAA